rnacentral:tRNA from 1 species
GCUUAGCUAGCUCAGUCAGUAGAACAUGUGACUCUUGAUCUCAGGGCUGUGAGUUCGAGCCCCAUGUUGGGUG